GUUCUAUCAGAAACUGUGAUCUCUGCAGAACUUAUGAUUAGGAUAUAUGCAUGGAGGGAAAGGUUCAGAACCCUCAGAAAGGAAACAUGUUGACUGACCUGCACACACUUCUCUAGGCCUCUUACCAUGGAAACUGCAAAUGACAAAACCCAGAAAAGGAGCUGUGUGGCUGGAGUCAGGCAUGGAAUGGUGACAUUACACUGGUUCUUUGUCAGUCCACCAUCAAGAAAAAUAAAUCACGACCAGGCACAUAUGAAGUUGGACGAAGAACAUGGCAGCAUGCUCCUCAUGGUACUAAAUUUGCAAAAAGGGAAAUCGGGUAAUAGAGUUUGAAUGACAUCGUGAGAUAAAAUGUGUCAGAGCUAAAUUUCCUACAUGGGGAUCCAGAAAGGCUUCUGCAUGAAUACCUAAAGGAGAAGUCCAUCCUGCACUGCAUACCCAGGAUAAAUAGGAUGCCAGAAACAUGAAGUACCUCUCAUGGAAAGAUGCAUGUGUGUAACACAGACAGCUCAAGAAAUUGAUGGCUUAUUCACAGCAAGCACUGAUAGAAGAACAAGACUUUUUAAGCUCUUUGAAGUCAGAAUGAAUGCCUGAAACUACUAGAUGAGAGGCGCAGAUAUGCUGAAUUCAGGGUUUAACUUCAUACAUCGGAUUAGGUCUUUCUCUGUCACCUCUACCCUUGAUUUGUCCCCUUUACUCCAUUUCCUAUCUUUACCCUUUAUGUUAGAAGUAUGAUUUGAUUUAUGAUUGACUAAGUUCUCACAGUUGAAAAACUGCACUGAGUCACCAAAGAAACUUUGGACAACUGCACAGUCUUGUGAAUGGUAAGGAAUAUGGAUAACAAACAUGACAAAAAUUAAGUUUUCACUAUUUGAUAACCUUACUUCUAUGGGAACAAAGGAUUAAAAGUAGCAUGUUUCAUGUUAGUGGAACUGGCCAGUAGUAAUGAUGUUUGUCAAAAGAAUGUGAAUUUGAAUGUUUUGAUUUAGAAAAAAACCAAAAAGAAAAUUUAGGUAAGCUGUUUU
rnacentral:lncRNA from 1 species